rnacentral:sRNA from 1 species
UAUACGGUACAGUGAGACGACAGCUUAA